CUGAACUUGGAAAUAGCGUUCAAGAAAAUAUUUUGCUUCCGGUUGGUGCUGGGUGACAUGAAAGUUACUAAUUCAAUUAUGCACACCACAGCAGCGAUAAUGCCUUCUCCCCUUUUUCUAUGGAGACUUCAGGUCUUGUUUUUUUUGGCAUGGGGCUUCACUUGUUGCAAGAUUGGAUGGGAUUCAGUCAUGAGAAUGAAUGCAGACCUGCGAGACUUGUUCUUGUACGAGGCGUUCUUAUAUUAUAAUCCUCUCCUUUU